rnacentral:rRNA from 1 species
ACACUGAGGCGUGAUGACGAGGCACUACGGUGCUGAAGCAACAAAUGCCCUGCUUCCAGGAAAAGCCUCUAAGCAUCAGGUAACAUCAAAUCGUACCCCAAACCGACACAGGUGGUCAGGUAGAGAAUACCAAGGCGCUUGAGAGAACUCGGGUGAAGGAACUAGGCAAAAUGGUGCCGUAACUUCGGGAGAAGGCACGCUGACACGUAGGUGAAGUGAUUUACUCAUGGAGCUGAAGUCAGUCGAAGAUACCAGCUGGCUGCAACUGUUUAUUAAAAACACAGCACUGUGCAAACACGAAAGUGGACGUAUACGGUGUGACGCCUGCCCGGUGCCGGAAGGUUAAUUGAUGGGGUCAGCGCAAGCGAAGCUCCUGAUCGAAGCCCCGGUAAACGGCGGCCGUAACUAUAACGGUCCUAAGGUAGCGAAAUUCCUUGUCGGGUAAGUUCCGACCUGCACGAAUGGCGUAAUGAUGGCCAGGCUGUCUCCACCCGAGACUCAGUGAAAUUGAACUCGCUGUGAAGAUGCAGUGUACCCGCGGCAAGACGGAAAGACCCCGUGAACCUUUACUAUAGCUUGACACUGAACAUUGAGCCUUGAUGUGUAGGAUAGGUGGGAGGCUUUGAAGCGUGGACGCCAGUCUGCGUGGAGCCGACCUUGAAAUACCACCCUUUAAUGUUUGAUGUUCUAACGUGGACCCGUAAUCCGGGUUGCGGACAGUGUCUGGUGGGUAGUUUGACUGGGGCGGUCUCCUCCUAAAGAGUAACGGAGGAGCACGAAGGUUGGCUAAUCCUGGUCGGACAUCAGGAGGUUAGUGCAAUGGCAUAAGCCAGCUUGACUGCGAGCGUGACGGCGCGAGCAGGUGCGAAAGCAGGUCAUAGUGAUCCGGUGGUUCUGAAUGGAAGGGCCAUCGCUCAACGGAUAAAAGGUACUCCGGGGAUAACAGGCUGAUACCGCCCAAGAGUUCAUAUCGACGGCGGUGUUUGGCACCUCGAUGUCGGCUCAUCACAUCCUGGGGCUGAAGUAGGUCCCAAGGGUAUGGCUGUUCGCCAUUUAAAGUGGUACGCGAGCUGGGUUUAGAACGUCGUGAGACAGUUCGGUCCCUAUCUGCCGUGGGCGCUGGAGAACUGAGGGGGGCUGCUCCUAGUACGAGAGGACCGGAGUGGACGCAUCACUGGUGUUCGGGUUGUCAUGCCAAUGGCACUGCCCGGUAGCUAAAUGCGGAAGAGAUAAGUGCUGAAAGCAUCUAAGCACGAAACUUGCCCCGAGAUGAGUUCUCCCUGAGACUUAGAGUCUCCUGAAGGAACGUUGAAGACGACGACGUUGAUAGGCCGGGUGUGUAAGCGCAGCGAUGCGUUGAGCUAACCGGUACUAAUGAACCGUGAGGCUUAACCUU